AGUGAACGCUGGCGGUAGGCCUAACACAUGCAAGUCGAACGGCAGCACAGGAGAGCUUGCUCUCUGGGUGGCGAGUGGCGGACGGGUGAGGAAUACAUCGGAAUCUACUUUUUCGUGGGGGAUAACGUAGGGAAACUUACGCUAAUACCGCAUACGACCUACGGGUGAAAGCAGGGGAUCUUCGGACCUUGCGCGAUUGAAUGAGCCGAUGUCGGAUUAGCUAGUUGGCGGGGUAAAGGCCCACCAAGGCGACGAUCCGUAGCUGGUCUGUGAGGAUGAUCAGCCACACUGGAACUGAGACACAGCCCGGACUCCUACGGGAGGCAGCAGUGGGGAAUAUUGGACAAUGGGCGCAAGCCUGAUCCAGCCAUACCGCGUGGGUGAAGAAGGCCUUCUGGUUGUAAAGCCCUUUUGUUGGGAAAGAAAUCCAGCUGGUUAAUAGCCGGUUGGGAUGACGGUACCCAAAGAAUAAGCGCCGGCUAACUUCGUGCCAGACGCCGCCGUAA
rnacentral:rRNA from 1 species